GAAGAAGAUGAUUUUUCACCUAGUGGAGUCAUUGAACAGUGGUCUUCAAAUUGGGAUUAUUUCCAAGAAUAGAUUAAAAUGCCAUGAAAAAGAAAAAAUUAUAGAAAAGCAAAAAGAGCUGAAUGCAGUGAAUGAACAUCUGUGAAUGAAGUUGAGAAGGUAUAUGUGGGGCAGACUAGAAUUGCAGUGCACAGAUACAAGAAUGUUGCCUGCUUUGGAGCCAAGACUGCCUUCCGGAUAAAGGGCCCACAGAGAGCUGAGAGCUGUGUAAUACCUCAAAGACUGAAGAAAAGAGUUAGACAGCCAUCUUUCCUUAGAGGAUUUUGCUGCAGACAGCUUGAACUACCAGAAGGUUAUAUACUGACCAUGGGUAGAGUAAGGAAGAAAUACAUCCUUCGGAAAGGACAAUGAAGAUCUUUACAGCAGGGAGGUGAGGACAAAGUGAUUCUCCCUUCUGGAGGAUGCAGCAAAGUGCUGCCUGCCAUCUUGGAAGCACAGAGUAGCCUUCACCACACUCUAAUCCCAUCAGAGCCUUGAUCUUGGACUUGCCAGCCUUCAGAACAGUCUUGCCUCAUCACUGCCAUGACAGGGGGGUCCAAUGUGAGGAUUCUGGUGUCUAUGCCAAGCAUCUCUUUUCCAACGUAGAUCUGAUUUCUUAACAUAGCCAACAGCAAGUCAACAUCAGCUUUGCAGAGAAAAGCAGGGAUGCGUGUGCACAAAGAAAAGGCCAUGUGAGGACAUAGCAAGAGGGAAGCUGUCCGCAAGCCAAGGAAAAAGGCCUCAGGAGAAACCAAAUCUGCCAAUACAUUGAUCUUGGACUUCCAGCAUUCAGAAAUGGAGACUUGUAUUUUCUGACAUUCAACUUAAUCGAAGAAUAAAGCUUUAACAGUGGCAUCAGUGACAUGAUGAAUGAUGCAUCAUUUUGAAGUAAUAAUGGUUUUCCCAGUGACUCAGAAAUAGCAGUAUGUUCAGAUUCAGUGUGCCUGUUCAUGAGAGCUCUGCAGAAAUUGCACAUCUGGCUCUUUGCCUGUGCACCUGAAGUUAUCUCAGGAGAAAUUAUACAAAUUAAAUACAGACACAGAGAAGGUCUUUUUUAAUUCAAAGGAAAAGAAUAUAUAUUCAAGAAAAGCAAAAAAGGUGGAAGUUGGGCCUUUGGUCAUUAAUUCUCUCUCUCUCUCUUGCUAAUUUUUGCAAAUAGGGAGAACUUGGAACAUCUGCCAAAAUUUUUAUUUUGUGCUUUAUUUUGGCUACCUGUUUAUUCCAUAGAACUAUGACUUGUCCUGGUGAUUCAGGCUUACUCCUUAAUUUCUGAACUGAUUGCCAGAGAGUCAGGGAUAUACACAUACAUUAUA
rnacentral:lncRNA from 1 species